rnacentral:rRNA from 1 species
UGCGCAGGCGGUUGUGCAAGACAGAUGUGAAAUCCCCGGGCUUAACCUGGGAAUUGCAUUUGUGACUGCACGGCUAGAGUGUAUCAGAGGGGGGUAGAAUUCCACGUGUAGCAGUGAAAUGCGUAGAGAUGUGGAGGAAUACCGAUGGCGAAGGCAGCCCCCUGGGAUAACACUGACGCUCAUGCACGAAAGCGUGGGGAGCAAACAG